rnacentral:ncRNA from 1 species
CUCGACACCCCGACCCUGGUGUCCCGGACGAGUGGUGGGCGUACCCGGUAACGCGAAGACGCCCCCGG